CUCUGCGUGAAAACGCAGGGCCUAUAAAGAG
rnacentral:ncRNA from 1 species